rnacentral:rRNA from 1 species
CAGCCGCCGCGGGAAAACGUAGGGGGCUAGCGUUAUCCGGAUUUACUGGGCGUAAAGGGUGCGUAGGUGGUCCUUCAAGUCGGUGGUUAAAGGCUACGGCUCAACCGUAGUAAGCCGCCGAAACUGGAGGACUUGAGUGCAGGAGAGGAAAGUGGAAUUCCCAGUGUAGCGGUGAAAUGCGUAGAUAUUGGGAGGAACACCAGUAGCGAAGGCGGCUUUCUGGACUGCAACUGACACUGAGGCACGAAAGCGUGGGUAGCGAACAGGAUUAGAUACCCCCGUAGUCCCUGUCUCUUAUACA